UACGAAGGGGGCUAGCGUUGUUCGGAAUUACUGGGCGUAAAGCGUGCGCAGGCGGCUUCUCAAGUCAGGGGUGAAAGCCCAGAGCUCAACUCUGGAACUGCCUUUGAGACUGAGAGGCUUGAGUACGGGAGAGGUGAGUGGAAUUCCCAGUGUAGAGGUGAAAUUCGUAGAUAUUGGGAAGAACACCGGUGGCGAAGGCGGCUCACUGGCCCGAAACUGACGCUCAUGCACGAAAGCGUGGGGAUCAAACAGG
rnacentral:rRNA from 1 species